rnacentral:rRNA from 1 species
UACGUAGGUGACAAGCGUUGUCCGGAUUUACUGGGCGUAAAGAGCGCGCAGGCGGUCGAUCAAGUCGAGUGUGAAAGCCCCCGGCUCAACUGGGGAGGGUCAUUCGAUACUGAUCGACUCGAAGGCAGGAGAGGGUAGUGGAAUUCCCGGUGUAGUGGUGAAAUGCGUAGAUAUCGGGAGGAACACCAGUGGCGAAGGCGGUUCUCUGGGCAUGUCCUGACGCUGAGGAGCGAAAGUGAUGGGGAG